CAGCAGCCACGGUAAUACGUAGGUGGCAAGCGUUGUCCGGAAUUAUUGGGCGUAAAGGGCUCGCAGGCGGUUUCUUAAGUCUGAUGUGAAAGCCCCCGGCUCAACCGGGGAGGGUCAUUGGAAACUGGGAAACUUGAGUGCAGAAGAGGAGAGUGGAGUUCCACGUGUAGCGGUGAAAUGCGUAGAGAUGUGGAGGAACACCAGUGGCGAAGGCGACUCUCUGGUCUGUAACUGACGCUGAGGAGCGAAAGCGUGGGGAGCGAACAGGAUUAGAUACCCGCGUAGUCCCUGUCUCUUAUAC
rnacentral:rRNA from 1 species